rnacentral:rRNA from 1 species
GUAGGUGGCAAGCGUUGUCCGGGAAUUAUUGGGGCGUAAAGCGCGCGCAGGCGGUUCUUUAAGUCUGAUGUGAAAGCCCACGGGCUCAACCGUGGGAGGGUCAUUGGAAACUGGAGAGCUUGAGUACAGAAGAGGAAAGCGGAAUUCCACGUGUAGCGGUGAAAUGCGUAGAGAUGUGGAGGAACACCAGUGGCGAAGGCGGCUUUCUGGUCUGUAACUGACGCUGAGGCGCGAAAGCGUGGGGAGCAAACAGGAUUAGAUACCCUGGUAGUCCACGCCGUAAACGAUGAGUGCUAAGUGUAGGGGGUUUCCGCCCCUUAGUGCUGCAGCUAACGCAUUAAGCACUCCGCCUGGGGAGUACGGCCGCAAAGGCUGA